rnacentral:rRNA from 1 species
AUUGAACGCUGGCGGCAGGCCUAACACAUGCAAGUCGAGCGAACCUAGCUUGCUAGGUGAGCGGCGAACGGGUGAGUAACACGUAGGAAUCUGCCCGAUAGUGGGGGACAACGUCUCGAAAGGGACGCUAAUACCGCAUACGCCCUAAGGGGGAAAGCAGGGGAUCUUCGGACCUUGCGCUAAUAGAUGAGCCUAAGUCGGAUUAGCUAGUUGGUGGGGUAAAGGCCUACCAAGGCGACGAUCUGUCGCGGGUCUGAGAGGAGGAUCCGCCACACUGGGACUGAGACACGGCGCAGACGCCUACGGGAGGCAGCAGUGGGUAAUAUUGGACAAUGGGCGGAAGCCUGAUCCAGCCAUGCCGCGUGUGUGAAGAAGGCCUUUUGGUUGUAAAGCACUUUAAGCGAGGAGGAGGCUCUUAAGGUUAAUACCCUUGAUGAGUGGACGUUACUCGCAGAAUAAGCACCGGCUAACUCUGUGCCAGCCGCCGCCGUAAGAC